GGCAGAUUCCUAUGUUCCACUGAGAAACAAUGUACAUUAGCAUCUAAAGAGGGUGGGUAGGCUGGAGGACCAUUAAAUCCAGGGUCUAAAAUUACCUAACUGCACCACUGAUUUAAGUUAUAACUAAUCUACACUAUGUGAGUGAAUUGGCCAUUUGAGAGGAAAAAGAAUUAAGCUUGCCUGGGUAUUCUCUCUCUCUCUCUCUCUCUCUCUCUCUCUCUCUCUCACACACACACACACACACACACACACACUACAGAAAUUUGUUUAAUUUUCUUCCUUUUCUUCCUUCAAAGAACUCAGGGCAGUGUCUAUGGUUCUCCUCAUCUCACUCACCCAUUUCAUUCUCACAACCACCCUUCAAGAUAGAGCAGGUUAAAAAUGAGUGGCUGUCCACUGCAGUAGUUAGAGGUUUGGACUGGGACCUGGGAAACUAGGGUUAAAAUUCCGCACUUGGCCAUGAAGCUCGCUGUGUGAUCUUGGGCCAGGCACUGGCUCUCAGACUAACUUACCUCACAGGGUUGUUGUGGGGAUUAACUGAGGAAAGGCGGGCAGACAACAUACACCGCCUUGAACUCCUUGAAGAAAAAGGUGGGAUAGAAAUGCAAUAAAUGAAAUGAAUGAAUGUCCCUGCACAAGUGCUAUUCAGAGGUGGAUUGCUCCUGCACAUGGAGGUUUCACUACCCCCGAUGUGGCCCAUAAGAACCUAAGAGCCUCAUUCAAUCCACCUUGGCCCAGAACACUUGUUUUUUACAGUGGCCAAUCAGAUGUGUUUUGGGAAGUUUGCAAGCAAGGCAUGGAGGCAACACAAGCUUUCCUGGGUUUUUCCCCAAGUACCUGGUAGACUGCCCCUGGGUCUACAGUAGAGUUUCAUUUUACUGUAACCAUUGCAGAGCUGCAUGCACAUUGCACAGGUUAGGGUGAGAUUUAAAUUAUUUAAGAUAAUAAUAGUGGAAAGGUUGGUUGUUGAGGGACAAGCUCUCUCUGAGGGGCAUUUUCUGCCAUUAAUUAUUGUCUCAUUGAGGAAAACUCAAAUAAAUUUCCACAGGACCAUCUUGAAAACUGCUGCCCUAGAAAGACGAAAAGAAAGAUUUAUGUGUGCAGCUUCUGGGUGUGAUUUCCAUUAGAAAAAUGCAUGUUCCUGGACUUCCAGAACAUGUCAAGAAAUUGCCACUUAAUCAACUUGCAUUAGCCACUUAAUCAACUUGAAUUACUUCCAUUAAUCAGAGGGUCUCCUCCAGCAAUACUAAAGUAAGGAAGGCAUUCCUCAUGUAAAAUAUUUUUAUAACACUUCUCAUUCAAAUAAUACAUCCCAAAAAAACUCAGUAUAAAAAGAACAACAAUAAAUAUAAUCCUGCAACCUGUAUAAAUCAUGCAAACAUGCCUGUUCUCUCUUGUUUUGCAUGAUCUUUUUAAAAAACACACAUACCAUAUUUUGCAUAAUCUAGCACACGCUUCCUCAACCUCGGCCCUCCAGAUGUUUGAGACUACAAUUCCCAUCAUCCCUGACCAUUGGUCCUUCUAGCUAGGGAUCAUGGGAAUUGUAGUCUCAAAACAUCUGGAGGGCAAAGUAAUACGUUUAGUGUGGAGAACCUAUGGCCUUACAGAUGUUGCUGAAUGAUAACUCCCAUCAUCUCUGGUCAUUGGCCAUACUUGCUGGGGCUGAUGGGAAUUGUAGUCCAGCAACAACAGGAGGGCCAAUGGCUCUCCAUUCCUGCUACAUUUAACUAGGAGGUCUCUCCCCCUCCCCCCCCCCACUGAGAAAAACUUGCCUCAGCCACCCAGACUGCUUUUGUGAUGACUCUAAGCAUUGCCUUUGCAUUUCUUGCACCCACAAGGACUAGAAACUUGGUGCUGGUUUUGUUCAAAAAGCCAGUAAGCUGGAUUCUGAGGCCAAUGCAACCUUUUGUGCUUUCACAGUACUUCUGCAGAGCUGCAGCAUGUCCUGACUAUUCAUGGCAGGUACGUUUUGGCUAUUGCACCACUUACUCACAAGGCUCACUUGUUCGUUUUUCUUCCUAAUGCAAUGGGGUGAGGAUAAAAGAAUGCGUUCCAAUCUCAGCCUUGGCAAGCAGGUAUGAGUUUCUUAAUUGGCAGCAGAUUUCAGUGCUGUCAAUCAAGUUAAGCUUCCUGCUCCAUCUGACCAGAACCUGUUUUCUUUCCCACCUGCAUUCCCUGACCCCUACCCCAAAGAAAAAAAAUAGCAAUCUGAUUCUGCCAGGAUUUGACACUCUGCAUAGAUGGCUGCAGAUUGGGGGGGGGGGGGUGUUCUCCAUGCAGAGCUCAGCAAACUCCAGAAAACAAGUGUCUGUGGCAAAGGACCCCCCCCCCCCAGCUAAACUGAGGUAGCAGAAGGAAGCUCCUUCUCUGAGGAAAGGAGCCUUGGCAGCAGUGCUGGCCCGACCAUGAGACAUGAUGAAGCAGUCUCCUCAGGUGGAGAUCUAGCCUCUAAGGCACACCCUCAUUGCUGCUGUCUGUCCCUCCCCAGCCUCCUUUUAACCCUCCACUGCCCUCAGUGUGUUUGUGGGGGGAUCUGCAGAGGAGGUUGUAAAAAGGGAAGGGGAGCAGAGAAGGAGGCCGUUGAGGUUGACAUUUUCUGUUUUACCCCAAUCUGUAAAAUGUCUGGGCAGCUUGCCUCUGAGCUGAGCUGUGGAAGCUUCGCCCAGGAGGGUGGAUGGAACACUGCCCCACCAACCUCAGCUUGCCCUCAGCCAGCUACAACUUCCCUUCCUCCUACAACUAGUCCAGGACGGUGGUCCUGCCUAACAACUGGCUCCUCCUUAGUCUUAGCAUUGGUGCUUGCAGAACUCAGCAAGGAGGAGGGCAAAAAGAGAAUUACCGGUAGUUGGCUCUACUUGUCACUGGCUUUUGAUGUUGGAUCUGGAGCCCCUUACCAGCCUGCCUUGCUGUGCUCAGCCUGGCAGUUUCUCUGGCUCCAGGUCCCUACCCUGCCUGGACAGACAGACACACCCAGGAGGGAUGGGCCAGAAUCUCCCAUAGCACUGGCUACAGAAACAAUAGGGGCACAGGGAUCAGCUUAUUGGGUCCUACCAAAAGAUUUAUCUAAAUGAACAUCCUGUGUCUGACAGUGUGCAGCCCGAAGGCCACGAUGGUGCAAGGCAGGGCCUUUUCCAGCCUUUCCUUUCUAGGCAAGCUCCCAAAGGCCACAUGUCAGUGAUGGGUAGGGCCAGAAGCAAAAGUGGGAGGUAGAAAUGCAUGCAAAUAUUAUCUUUGUACUGUUGCAGGUUGUGGGGUGGGGCAGCCUGGAUGAUGCCCUGAGUACCUUCUGAUUAUCGGGGUCCUGUACUGAGUGACAUUAGAAUCUGACAAAGGAGUUUGCUGAAGCAGUCAGGCAGGUUUCUUUGUGAUACAUGCCCACUAAGUGUCCUCAUCAGCAUCCCAAAAGAAGGAGCUCAGCUGCAAGAGCUACAGCUAAAUGAUGGUGCCCUCUAGGUUGGAUGGGUCUUUCCUCCACCUGCCUCACCUAGGAGUACAAGAGCCAGUGUGGUGUGUGAGAGCUGAGCUGGAAGCAGGAUGUGAGCUGGAGACACAGAGCCAUGCUUGCUCUGUGCUGGAUCCAAAGCUGUGACUAAUGGAAAAGCAAGAUCUGUUGGGGGUGAAUGCUGUGAGCCCUUCCACUUUAUGCUCAGGUUGUAUAUAUGUGAAUAAAGGUAAAGGGUAAAGGGACCCCUGACCUUAGGUCCAGUUGCGAACGACUCUGGGGUUGCAGUGCUCAUCUCACUUUACUGGCUGAGGGAGCUGGUGUACAGCUUCUGGGUCAUGUGGCCAGCAUGACUAAGCCGCUUCUGGCAAAUCAGAGCAGUGCACGGAAAUGCCAUUUACCUUCCCACCAGAACGGUACCUAUUUAUCUACUUGCACUUCAUGCUUUCGAACUGCUAGGUUGGCAGGAGCAGGGACCAAGCAACGGGAGCUCACCCCGUUGUGGGGAUUCGAACCGCCGACCUUCUGAUCAGCAAGUCCUAGGCUCUGUGGUUUAACCCACAGCGCCACCUGCGUCCCAUAUUUAUGUGCAUAUUUGACCAUAUAUCCUAAGGAUACCACAGUCUCCACUCAUGUUCAUUCCAAGGAAACUAAAUCCUGGGUAAGUGCCUGGAACUUGGAGAUUAGGGUGGCACGUAACAGUACAGUAGAAUGGUUUCUAUAACUACUCACAUGUUCCCCUUCCCCUCCUCCCCUCUGAAUUCUGCACUGUCCAAGUUGCAGUGACAUUUUGCCUUGGGCAGAAUCCUCUGACCUGGAUAACAAUAAUAAUCACAGGUGAGAUCGGACACACAGCAGUGGGAAGGACCAGGGGCUUGUAAAUGAGAUGGAGCCAUUGAAGGGUGUGCAGAAUUAGGGAGAGGAGAUCCUCUGUGUUUCAUUAGCCCCUCACAGCUGGCUGAUUCCGGGUGGCUUUUCCAAGAGAGCUAAAAGAGGCCUCCCAGCUCCCAGAAUCAUUGCAAGCUGUCCUUCCGCACGCCCCACGCUAAUUAAUUGUACAGCAUUGCAGAUUUAGACAGUUAGUUGCAACUGCGUGUCAUUUUUUACUCCUUCCUUAGAUGCUGGCAGCCAAUAAGAGAUGGAGGGAGAGGGAGGGAGAGAGACAAAAGAAAGAAAGAAAGAAAGAAAGAAAGAAAGAAAGAAAGAAAGAAUCUCUGCAAUUGCUUCCUUAUUGUAGAUGCCUCAAGAUGGUCUCCUGGGACACAUGAUUGUGCGUUUCUGGCCCAAAAACCCUGCAAAACAUGUCAGGGUCUCACCCACAAGGCAGGCAAAUAACUCAGUGUGCUUCCAGGCUGCCACUGUUUCUAGGUAGGAUUCAGUCAUGUGCUGACAAAUUCACAUUGCACAAUUAGAGUCUGUCAGGAGAUCUUGCGUGACAAACCAGCUUCCCAAAAAGAUCUGACUUCUUGCGAUAUGGAACGAGACAGGAGAACACCCUGGAAAGUGUGCAGUAACAUUUGCUUUAUGCAAGGGAGUGUUCACCUUACUGUGCUGAAGCACAGCAAAGUGCCUUGAAGCACACUGAACACAGGGAAACUGUUCACAUCAGCAUGGCUUCAUUAGUGUCAGAUUUGUUUCCAUUUGCCUACACACCAGGGGGCAUUGACAGGGUGGGAAUGUCUUCGCCCUACGCAGAGGUGUUCACACCUUGGCUAGGGAUGAAUUAGAAAAAGCUUAAGAACUACAACCGGUGUGAGGCUGGGUUGAGAAAUGAUGACUCAGACAGUAAUAUUUUACAGAAAAGUACAGGAUACAUAUGCAUUUUGGAUAGUAUGCAAACACAGGUUAAAAACCCAUUGGUCCAUAUAAUUCUGGCAGCAGCUCUCUGGUAUUUCAGAGAGCAGUCUCUCCCAGCACAACCUGGAGAUGCCACUGGGGGAUUGAACCUGGGACCUUCUGCCUACAAAGCAGGUGUUCUAUUACUGAGCCACAGCCCUCUUUGCCCCCUACAUAUGUGACCAUUCCACUACCACAAACAUCCACGUUGUUGCCUCUUUCCUCCACAUCUCUCCAUUUCCCUGCUCAUCAUUAAUGAUGCAUAUAGAGAGAAGUAAUGCUGGAUCCAACCCAGAGACAUUUGAAGGCCUUGUGAGUAUUGGGUGGCCCCAGAAUGCCACUGGUUUUUUGUUUUCUUCAUGGCUUGAAGGACCUUUAAUGAAGCUCAAAGAACAGGAGAGCUGGCCUCCUCUUGGUACAUUAACCCUCCCCAUUUCCCAGUGUGUUCGUGCCCCAGAGAAAAAGAACCAGAUGGUCAGGAUGCAGUAAGGGCAUGGAAAAAGACAUUACAGUGGCUUGGGGGGGGGGACAUCCCUGGAGCUACCUACCCCCAGCACAAUAGCAAAAUUAUAGCCAGGCAUGUUUCUAGCUCUUUGUUCUUAGCCUGGUGGGACAUUUGGGGGAAGGAAUUAGGGAAGGGGUAUUUGUUUCCCCAAUUUGGGAAGGCCUCUACCCUCCCGUCCUCAAACACAACAAUGGUGGCUCUUACUGGAGAGGGUUAGGAAGAGAUCUUCAAUCAGGCAAAUGACAGGAUAGGCUCAGCAGUGAGCACAAGGUUCAGAAGUCACAAUUCCAAUAUAGACAUAAUGACAUGAGAAGAGUCUGCUCAAUGGCCCAUCUAGGCCAGCAUCCUGGUCCCACAGUGGCCAACCAGAUGCCCACUAUGGGAAGCCCUCAAGCAAGAUUUGGACACAAGAGCAUUCUCUCCUUGUCUCCAGCAACUGGAAUUCAGAAACAUUUUUGCCUCCAACUGUGCUUUGUCCUCCCUAAGUUUGCCUAAUCCUCUUUUAAGGUCAUCUAGGUUGGUAGCCAUCACUGCUGUGAGAAUCAUAGAAUCAUAGAGUUGGAAGAGACCACAAGGGCCAUCGAGUCCAACCCCCUGCCAAUGAGAAUGAGUUCUGUAGGUUAGCUAUGCACUGUGUGAAGAAGGGCUUUCUUUAAUCUGCCUUGAGUCUUCCAACAUUCAGCUUCAUUGGAUGUCCACAAAUUCUAGUGUUAAGCAUGAGUUUUCUUUAUCCACUUUCUAGACAGAGAGGCAGGGCUGAAUGAAAGUGAUGAAGAUGCCCCACAGAUUUUCAUGCCCCUCCUGCCGAAUGUCUAAAGCUAUGGGACUCUCUUGCCUUAUGAGACUGCUAUGGGGGCAAACACACACUCUGCUGGUGCAUCUGAUCCCAUCUGUGGAAGUCAAGAAUGGUUCCUGGUGACAAAAUCAAGUCCUGCCCCUCUGACUCCAGCUCUGCUAUCACCUCUUCCUGUUCAGCCCCUACUGUUGGCUGGCGAAAGUCCUCACCACAAGGGGCUUUGCACCCUGCAAGAAGGGCGAUAGGGGGAGCUGGCUGAUCUACCAUUCUCCCUUUCCAUUAUCUAGAGUUUUAAGAGUAGAAUCUUAAGUUCAGUUCUCCAACUUUCCACUUCAGUUUGAAGAUUCUUUCUUAAAAAAAUCAUCAGCAUUUUAGUGUAAGCCUCUCCUAAUAUAUACAUUUCCCUAAUAUAAUGCAAUUUAGUAGAUUCUGUUUCCUAUUGUCUGCAUUUUCAUACACCUUUGUUCUUUUUUCAUGCAUUAACUUGGCUGCUGUCGGGCCUCUGAGCAUGCAUGAAGUGUUUUUCAUGCAGAAUACACCCAAACAGAUAUUUAAAAUCCACUGACUACCCAUCUUGGCCUGAAGACUAUGAGAAUAUUGAAAUGCGUUAUACGGAGAAAGCCGGCUUUGUCCUCUUCCCUGUUGAGUUCUACAAGGGGAAACACAGAGGCUGAGGAGGAAGGAGAUGGCACAACCUCCUGGAUUAGUUGUAAAUAUGAAAGGAGAUUGGGUGGGAGCUGGCUGAAGGGAGACUGAGGUUGGUGGGUCACUGCCCCAUUUGCCCUCAUGGACCAGCCUCCUCUGGUAGGGCAGAAGGCAGGAAGAUCAACAGCAGGUGUUGCCAGAGCCAAUGACAGGCAGAGCCACACUCCAAUCAGUUGUAAGUAAGAGGGCGGGCAGGUGGGAUCUUGCUGACCGCAGACUGGAGAAGGGGGGGGCAGGGAGCAGUCCCCUGUUCACCCAAAUGGAACAGCCUCUCUCUGUGGUGCUUUAUUUCCACAGUUCACUUUUGUUAUCCACAAUAAGAUUAAAUGCAUAAACAAGGUGGGGGGAGGGUUGUCUUGCAGCUGGUGGAUCCCUUCAUACAUUCAGAGCAGGCUGUAUCGGUAGUCACCAUCUUCUAUGGAGUUUGGUCCAGCUCAUUUCAUCCCUGGCAGACUCCCGGCCCCUGACAAGAGCCUCACCCCACCGUCUUUCAAAACAGCUGGGGGGCUUGCUUCUCUCGAAGCUGUUUCGACUUAACUCUGACAAUAAAAUUUACCAUUAAAAAUAAAUUUGUCUUGGCUUCACGCAGCCCUGGAAAUCUGCAGGGGGAGUGAUUCAGUGGGCCUGUCACGCCGCGGCAUUCAGCCUGCUGAGCCGAGCACACUGGAUCUUUUCCAAGUCCGGCAACUCAUUUUCUCCUGCCGGAGCCCAAGAACGUACAGUUGGGUUGACGUUUAAUUUAGCACCUAACAUACCUUGACAUAAACCCAUAAUACAAUAGCAGUGGGGGAGGGAGAUGGUGAUGGUGAGAGGAGGAGGAGGAGGAAGAAAGGAGAGCAGGGCCAACUGAUGGAAUUGAUUUUGUUUUGUUUUGUUUUGUUUUUUUAGGUCUUCUACUUUUGCUCUGUCAACAAUCAGCAGGUAUGACAGGAUGAAAGCUGCAAUAAAGGGAGGAUUGAGCAGCGAAAAUUGGAAAGGGGAGCGCUCUUGGUUUCUGCUCCCACGGCGGUUGAACAAAUGCGCCACCUAAACAUGGAGAGAGUUGUGGCAGCAUUGUGGCUUCCCGUUCCAGGAUGGGGUUUGAGACCAAGUUGGAUCCCAAGAUUCAGAUGUGGCUGAAACACAUUUGCCAUUAGUAUUUUGCAUGUGAAAUUUUCACUUUGAGUCUGAAACUUGAAUUUCAAGGUGAAAUCUGUGUGUGAUAUCAUCAUCAUCAUCAUCAUCCAUAUCCUUUCUUCCCAAGCUUGGAUUCAAGUAGGCUUCCAACAUUUAAAAAUGCCGUUAUGAAGUAAUAUGAAGUACGGUAAUAAAAGCUGAGUAGUUAAGACCAGUAAUUAAAAUACAUGCAGACAUAUUGAGAGCCAGCCAUUCAAAUCCACUUUGCUCUGACAGCAGCCCAGUGAUCAGCGUCACCUGCACCUUAGUUUCCAAAGGUCUGUCUGAACAGGAAGGUCUUUGCCUGCCAGCAAAAGGAAAGCAAAGAGGCAGCCAGUCUUACGUCUCUUGGGAGGGGAUCCCACAAUAAGGGAGAAGCCACAGAAGAGUGUCUGUCUGUCUGUCUGUCUGUCUGUCUCUCUCUCUCUCUCUUGUGUGUCUGAUGUUGAUGAGACUGAGAGCAAGUACCCACCUGAGGACCACAGCACCCAGACAGGCUCACAAAGUGAGAUACAGUCUUUCAUAUGGCCUGAGCCCCAACCACAUAGUGGACUGUCCCUAGACGCAGGGACCGUCCCACAUAACUGUUCACCCAAUUCUACCCAAUGCUAUUGUUUAUUUAUUUUUUGCAUUUAUAUUUCACCUUUUUCUCCAAAGAGCUCAAAGCAGCUUGUGUGCUACAGAUAGGUGUGAACAGUAGUGUAUACUGGUAUCCAUUUGUGCACUGAUCACUUGUUUUCCUAGGAUGGUCAAGAGCAUCAGGCUGAGUCAAAUGUCUUUCAGGCUCACCAUUCUUCACAUUUCCGGAG